CCUUAGGCGGAGUCCCACCUCACUGUAGCAGAGGGACUCCCUACAAAGGGACCUGCAGCUUCCAGGGUGGCUGAGUCAUCCUCCCAACCUGAGGGGGGUCAUGAUCCCCCAGCAUAGGCUCUGCUACAGAAACCUACUGCCGUCUCCCAUCUCCACCGCACCAAGGGCUCCUGAGGUGACGGGGAUUGGGACAGGGGAUGGCAGGGAGGGGAAGUCAGGGUCGCUGUGAUUCUGAAGGACCUCGAGAGCUGCUCCGGGCCCACAUCCAGCCCACAGGGGCUCACUCGGCUCUCAGCGGGCCUGGCUGACCUCAGGUCUUAAGGGUGCCUACACACACCCUGCUCGACCCUUGAUUUUAUGUAGCAGGGCCCAGUGGUCAGGCGUGAGCCAGUGGAGGGCCGUGGGCACCUGCUGAGUCACAUGUCACAGGCCCUGAGGCCUCGGUGUCUGGAUGUGCCGAGUGAGGCCCCACUGCACGGGCAUGUCUGGCUUGAAGCUGCCAGGUCCCCUAGCCCAACUCUCUGGUGCCAUGGGAACUUGGCAGUGACAAGACCGGGUGGGGCUGGGGGCAGCUGAUAGUGACUCAGCCGAGGGCAUUCCCGGGGGAUGUGUCACGGCACGGCCUGGGUGCUGCCACUCUCCCACCCUCUAGCGAGGCCUGCCAAGGAGGAGCCACCCAGUCAUGGGCUGACCCGAGCACCUGUGCAGGCUGCUCUUCCUCCUCCUCCCAGAGGGUCCAGCUCUCAGGAACAAGGGCCACCAGGGAAUCAAAGACGACAUUCGGGAGGGACAAGGCUAUUUGAGCUCAAAGCCUGCAGCCGGUUCCUGCUCUCAUCUCCCCUCAGGGCAAGCAGGGGCCUUGACUCAGAAGGGAGGGGUGGAGUCACCUGCACCUGGGAAGAAAUCCCUGUGCCCCUGUGCGGGGCAGCUCCUAAGGGGCAGGUGACAAGCCUGUGGACCAGGAGGCCCAGGUCCAGUUGAGGCCCUGGGCCGUUGGUACCCUCGAUACCAGCACUGUGUCCGGACUUGAAAUCCCUUCCUGGUCUGCCUCAUGACACCCAACGACUCUGCCCGCCACGCCUCCUUCAUCACUGGGACGCCAGGACCCUGGAGAGGACCCUCAUGGUCCUCUGUCCUCUCCGGUCCACACUGGGGUCAGGGAGAAGCUGGCGGCAGGAGUGGCCGGAAGUGUGUUUGCCCUGUGUGCAGGUGUGGGGAAUGGGGGGCACGGCCCUCCCGCUCCAGGCCUCCUGGGCCCAGAUCCAAUUUUCCAUCUGAGAAAGUACUUCUGACUAUUAAAUAUUUAUCCCAGCAAAGCAGGCCUUGGCUCCCUUGGCCCAUGACUUCCAAAAAAAGAAAAAUGAAGGGAAACCCAGAGGCAGAGGCAGGGAACAGGAAGACAGGGCCCCUGGAGACAUGCCCUUCACAGAACAACAGCUUCCCUUGGAGUGGGGUCCAAAAUUGGGAGUUUCCACCAAACUAAACCUCCCUGGGUUCGCAGAUACACCCUUCCCUCUGUCCAACCCCAUACCCCCAGACCCUGCUCCCUAUCUAAGAACUACCCAGAUCCAGGCUGGUGACGAGGUUACUAUUGCCUGUGGCCCCCUCCUCGUGGACACCUGUGAGCCCUCCGUGACUCCUCCCAGGCCACCUCCCACUUGCUGGACCAGCAAUGGGUAAAUCUCUGCUUUCCCUCCUAAGUCUGGGGACCUCCAGGGGGCAGUGGCGUCAGCUCUCAGGCACAGAUGGACAGGAAGAGAUGAAUGACAUCUCUCACACUUGACACCAUCCCUGAAUGCAGGAUGUGUCUCCUCCCUGGGCAGAGGACAAAGCCAGUGAGAUCUUGACUUUUUGCUCCCAGGUGGCAGAGAAGCCCAGGUAAGUAAGAGCUCCACUGCCAGGGCUCAAGCCUCUCCUCCCUAGCCAAGCCGGUCCAAGCUGUGCCUGGAACACAGACGUCUUCAGGAAAGGGUACGGAGGAGGUCAUAGAAGGAAGGACACAGAAGGCUAGUAAAAUGCUCCCAUCAGAGGCAGCAACUAGUGCCGCCCAGGACAGACGAGCCUGUCUGAUCAGAGAGAGGACAUAAGGGCAUUGCCGCAGGCCCAGCCUCGUGGAGGUGGGCACAGCUGCCCAGCACAGGAGGUUGGGAGGCUGGGGGUCUGCUAGCUCCAUCCUCCUCCCUACUCUCAGGCCCAAACCACCCCUUUCUUGGCUGAUAAUAAAAAAAAUGUAGGUGCAGUCUGGGGCUUAGAGAGAGCAGGAUGAACACAGCCCUGUCCCCUGAGUCAUCCAAAGGAAGAGCCUAGCCGGACAGUGGUGGCACAUGCCUUUAAUCCCAGCACUCAGGAGACAGAGGCAAGCGGCUCUCUGAGUUUGAGGCCAGCACAGUCUACAGAGUGGGUUCCAGGAUACCCAGGGCUGUGCAGAGAAACCCUGCCUCAAAAAUAAAAAAAAUAGAGAAUAGAAAAGACCCUGGGGUGUUGUUAGCGAUUCCUACAGCCCCCAACACAGCUUUUAGCCCACCUCAUUCAAGUAGGGAAGUGAUCCCAGCUAACCAAUACCCAUGGCUUCCCCCUCGGUGCCUCUCCGUGGACCCUGCGAAGCUGAGGAGGGGCCGCAGAGCCCAGCCUCUUUUCUGCCCUGCCUGGCAGGACAGGACAGCUGGUAUCUUUCAGAGCCACCUAUCCCCUCUCUCGGCUGGGUGCCUACAGAGGUCCACCAUGAUGCAGGGCUCAGCGUCCCUGCCUCGGGCUUCUGUACCCCAUCUUCAGAACAGGAACACAGAUUCCUACCAGCAUGGGCAACCCCACCCAGGAGAUGACAGAGCAGCACAGCACGUGGCCUCACUGAAGGCACGGCUCUCUCAGCAUGGCAGCCCAGGCACUCCUGGGCACAGAUGUCAGGUCUGCUCCUACACCCCGACCCCAAGACUGGGCACCUAAACAUCUGCUCUGGCCCUAUACUCUUUAGGAGAAAGAGGUAGUCACACCACAGCUCCCAACUCCAAAGAAAGAACAUCCAGACAUCCCUCAUGAUGCCACAGCACCUGGGGACUCCCUGGACGCACCAGGAGUUUCUUGAAGAACGCUGGGAGUUAGUGCCUAGGCUGUGCCAGGCUGGUGCAGAUACGGCACCCGGACCACGGCUUGGAAAACAUGACUGCCCGUCACUCUAACUCUCUGAGAUUCGGCUAUGCCUCUGGGGAGAAACCCACAUACAUGCCCUGAGGGUACAUCCCCAGCACAUCCACCAGGGGGCAGCCUCUGAGCAAGUUAGCUGGAACCACGGUGGCUCUGCUCUGGACUUUGGAGGGAGUGUCCUUUUGGAGAAUGUGUAUCCUGGGUCUCCGUGCAGGGUUGAGGACAGCCUGGGCAGAACCAUCCAGGCCCUUAUCCUGAACGUCUCCUACCAGAGCUGCAGAAGAGGCCACUGCUCUAACUCCCUAAGAGCAGGUGGACACAAGGAGAACUGCUCCAGACAAGCUGGGGAGACACCAGUUAAAAUCGGGAAGAAACACUAUCGAGUGAGCGAGUGGGAAAGGCACACCCUUGGGGAUGGGGUACAGAAUGUGAGUAAAUUGGGGGCGGGGGUCUGGAGAGAUGGCUCAGAGGUUAAGAGCCCUGGCUGCUCUUCCAAGAGUCCUGAGUUCAAUUCCCAGCAACCACAUGGUGGCUCACAACCAUCUGG